GCAGCAAGGAAGCCAGGCGUAAGUUGGGAGCGACUGAGCCACUCCAGGAGGAGGUGUGGGCCCACGGCGUGUUGGAGGUGGAGCCACAGGACCUGUCCAUAGGUUGGAUGCUGUGUGGGUGACAGAGAGAAACCGGGGCUCACGGCCUGGGCAGCGGGACGGGCGGAGUCGUCCUCACCUGUGCUGGGGACCCUGUGGGAGCAGCAGGCUUCCGAGCACGUGCUGGACCCCGGCGUCUCCGGCUGCACCGAGUGGUCAGGACAUUGAGGCCGGGUCAGGGAGCGUGAGAUACCGGGACGAGCGGGCCCAGGGCUGAGCCCAGCGGCGUCCGGGUGGGCGGUGGCGUUGAGAUGGGAAUUGGGAAUUGCACCGGUGGUCUCAGGAGGAUGGAAAACCCAAGCAGCAGCUGCACCAGGACCGAGGCAAAGGGACCGCAGUUUAACAGAAAACCCAAAACGAGAGCGAGAAAACGGCCAAACACCCGUGCGAGGAGGAAACCCAAGCUCCGCCGAGCGCGGCGGGUCUGUGCCUUCGCUUCGCUUCCAGCCUCUCGCUUCCUUCUGACCCGACCCCGAGUUCUUUCUCCGGACGGUGUCG
rnacentral:lncRNA from 1 species